AACUCUCAACCCCCUCGUUUUGUAAUGAAGCGCAGCGUGGGAUUGGAUUGUGGUCGUCUGUCGGUCUAUUCUAGAUCGGCUCGACUGAAAUACAUCAGCGUACCUGUACUUCGGUAGCAGCAGCUUAUCUUAGCGUGAUAUAACUAUUCGCUCGGAUUACUGCAUCGCAAUAUUCCAAAGUCAGCGGCGCUCAUAGUGACCCUCGGCUUCGGCCGACAAUCUAAAC
rnacentral:misc_RNA from 1 species